GCGAAAAUUAUUUUGUCUUUAAAAAGAGUGAGUAUAAUUUAAAAGAAAUGUUUGUAAAGGCUAUAGUGAAAUAAGUACUGUAAGGGAAAAAUUAAAAUAAAACGAUUAGUUAAAAGUAGUGAUAAAAUAGCGUACCUUGUGUGUCAGGGAGACUUGAAAUUUAAAAUGUAAUGUUUUGAUCUCGAAAAAUGGAUAGCUAAUUUUUAUAAAAGGUCUCUGUAGAAAAAGGGUCUUGAAAUUUAAAUUAGGGGUGAUAUGCUAAUCGCGCCAUUAUAUCUAGUUUUUUUUGAAAUAAAUUGAAUUUAGGAUUGUCUUCGUAUGAAUAUAAAUCUAAGAGCAGGAGGGUAGAGCUUCUUGUUCAAAUAUUAGUAAAGAGUGUUGAUUAUAGAAAUGGUUGGGGUUUUAGGCUUGAAAGUGGCUAUAAAGGUAGUGUUUUACAACUAGAGAAUAUAUUAAAAAGAUUUCUGUAUUUCCUCUGUGGUAAAAAAACGUUGAGAAUAAUAGGUGGUCUCAAGUGGAUAUGAGUCUAUUAGUAGAGAGUAUUGUGAAAGAUUUAUAAUAUAAAUUAGAUUAUGUUUGUAUUUAAAGUGAGGUGUAAUAAAGGAACUCGGCAAAUAUUAGUUCUGCCUGUUUAUCAAAAACAUGUCUGUAUGAAUCAUGUAUAUACAGUCUAGCCUGCCCAUUGACAUAGUUUAACGGCCGCGGUAUACUGACCGUGCGAAGGUAGCAUAAUAAUUAGUCUUUUAAUUGGAGGCUGGUAUGAAUGGUUGGACAAGAGCUAAUCUGUCUUUAUUAUAAUAGUUGAACUUAACUUUUAAGUUAAAAGGCUUAAAUAAAUUAGCGGGACGAUAAGACCCUAUAAAGCUUUACAUAAAGCUUUGUGUUAGGUGAAAUUGGUAAUUAAUAUUUAAAAUAAAGUGUAUGUUGUGCUGGGGCGGCAAGGGUAAAAUUUGUAACUGUUCUUGUUUUUGGACAAUUAUUUUUGUGUUGUAAAGGAUCCUUUCUAGUGAUUAAAAGAUUAAGUUACUUUAGGGAUAACAGCGUAAUUUUCUUUGAGAGUUCAUAUCGAGAAGAAAGAUUGCGACCUCGAUGUUGAAUUAAGAUUUCUUUAUGGUGUAGCAGCUAUUUUAGAGGGUCUGUUCGACCUUUAAAUUCUUACAUGAUUUGAGUUCAGACCGGCGUGAGCCAGGUUGGUUUCUAUCUGUUAAUAAGAGGAAAAACAUUCUAGUACGAAAGGAUUGAGUGUUUUAAAUAAUUUUUUUAUAGAGAAUAAUAU
rnacentral:rRNA from 1 species